GGAAAGUGUAGAAACUGUAAGUGUUAGGAAGAGAGAAUUAGGAAAAAAGAAGAGUGGAGGGUAGAAAGAAGAAAUUUGAGACCUAGAAGAGACAGCCAAUGAGCUGUGCUCUUUCUCCUCCACCAAGACAGAGAUACCUUCUUGGUUUCAACAGGAUACAGGAUGAGCAUUGACCUUUCCAGUGAAAUACUGAUUGCAAAACAGACACAGUG